UCUCUCAAGAGAGUUUUCUGUUGCAAUCGUUCUUCCUCUUCUUAUGGUGCAUCUCCGAUGUAUAUUUUCCGGCGAUAUUCACUGCGAUUUGAUUAGGCCUUUGUUCUGUGGGAUAUUGGGGAGUGUUUGGUGAGGUUUAUACGGUCCGAUUCAUCCAAAUCAUGUUGUUUUAUUUCAAGGGUUUGAGUUUCUUCUUUUUGGGUAGGAGAUAGGCUCGUCGAGUGUCCGUAGGCCGUCGCUGGAACAGCUCUUUCUUUCUAUCGGUUUUUUUGUUCGAUAAAGUUAACCGAUUUUAAAUAUAAGGCACAUUAAUUGUUUUCUCAUUGCGCGGAGGAUGUUGUAUUUUCUGGCGCAUCAUUAUGGAUGAUCAUAUGUAUUUGGAAAGCCAGACUCGAAUGAAAUAUUACAAAAAAAUGGUUAGUGCAAGAAAAUUCAAGGAAUGAGACAUGUUAUGGAAGACUAUCUUACCGACCUACAAGAAGACGGAACCUUUGGACAUUUUUGUUAAAAGCCGAUACUUAUUUGAGUAUGGCUUAGACAAGCCUCAAAGAAUCGGCACUGCAUGUGAAUUCAUUGGUAGUUCACAAAAGGUUUUUCAUAGUUUUGAAAAACUUAUUGGUAAAAGGCUUAACCCUUCCCUUUUAUGUGAUAUAUGUGUCUUUUAUGUGAAUUUGAAACUCAGUGUAGUUUAGUCAUGCUGAUUGCAGUUUUAGGAAUCUUGAUUGUGUGAUAUUUGAUUCAUGUGAUUUACUUCACUGCAAUAGUGGGUUGCUGACUGUAGUGAUAGGUUGAUUGCUGUGUGAAUAUCCCUAUUUGUGACUUGUCUGUGGUGGUUUUAAAUUGUUUUGGAGAAAAUAGUUGGUCUUGUAUUUUUUGGGCAGUGAUUAUUGUGUGUGAUAUUGCUUGUUCGUUUUUUGUUGCUUGCCGUGUUAAUUGUUCUUGGGUGUUAGAACUUUGAAAAAUUGCCUAUUUGUAUUUAUUUUGUAUUUUUUCCAAAUCUAAAUAUUUUUUAAAUAAAAUAUGUCUUUUCAAAAUGUCUCAAAAUCAUCUUUUAAGUUUGAUUUACUUUGAUGGAAAAACAUAAUUUUUUAUAUAAAAACAUAAAAUGAAAGAUUUUUUUAUUACUCAAAAAGUUUUUAAGGCAAUUGAUGGAAAUUAUGUUGCAAUUGUUUCUGAUGAACGCAAAGCAGAAAUAGAUGAGUAAGCAUAUUCCUUUAUAAUCAUGAAUCUUGUUAAUUAUGUGAUUAGAAAAGUUGGAAUAAUGAAAACUGCAAAAGAUUUGUGGGAAAGAUUAGAUCAAUUAUAUAAUAAAACUUCUUUGCUAAGUAAAUUGUAUUUGUUGGAAAGAUUUUUUAGUUUUAAACUUGAUUUGAAAAAGAGCAUUGAUGAAAAUUUAGACAUCUUUCAGAAAUUAAUACAAGAUAUAAAGUUGAGUGGGGAUAUUACUAUUGAUAUCUACAGUCCUACUGUCUUGUUAAAUUCUAUACCUAAUCUUUAUUCAGACGUAAAAUCUGCUAUUAGAUAUAGUAGAGACAAUAUAAUUUUGGAUGUUGUUAUGAAUGGUUUAAAAAGUAAAGAAUUGGAUUUAGCUAUUAAUAAAAGUCAUAAGUCUUCAUCCGGUGAAGUCAUGUAUACUAGAAAUAGAUCUCCUCGUAUAAAAAGACAAUGCAAAUCAAAAGGGUAAUAAUAAGAAUUCCCAAAACAAUUAUAAUAAUAAAGGAAAAAGAAUUAUAAGGGUAAGUCUAAGUCUAGAAACCCUGAAAGAAAGUGUUUUGGUUGUGGAGAAGUUGGACAUUAUGUGAAAUAAUGUACUAAAAUAGUUGGGUCUAGUAACAAACAACAAUCUAAUGAGUAUGUUAAUUACACAUUUGACUUUCAGAACUUUGGUGAGAUGUAUAUGGUGAAAUCUAAUUAUUGUAAUGUGAAUUCGGUGUGUAUGAAUGAGUGGUUAAUUGAUUCAGCUUGUACUUAUUACAUGAAACCCUUAAGAAAAGUUUUUUCAAUCUAAAUAAAUUUGUAGAGUUGAAGGUGUUGGCACUGUUCGUCUUAAAUUUGAAACCGGUUUUGUGUUAGUUUUAAAUAAUGUGAGACAUGUGCCCGAUUGGUACAAUAAUUUGUUGUCUUAUGUGGGUUUAGAGGAUAUAGAGCUAAAAGGUAAAUGAAGAAAUUGUUUUAUAAAAUUUUUUAAAAGGCUCUUUAGUUGUUUUUAAAGCUGAAAGAAACAAUAACUUGUAUGUCACUAAAGUGGAGCCUGUUUUAAAUUCUGAUUUUUCAAAUAAAGUGUGUGAUCUGAAUUAUGGCAUAAAAGACUUUGGCAUAUACGUGCUAAAGGUUUAGAAAUUUUACACAAAAAUGAUUAUUUUGGAAAAGACAAAAUCUCUUUUUUUACCUUUUUUGUGAUGAAUGUGUGUAUGGAAAACAACAUAGAGUCCAAUUUCUUAAUGGUUCAACUCCAAAAUUGAUUAAAUCAUCUCAUAUAUUGGAAUAUAUACAUGUUGAUAUGUGGGGCCCUUCUAGUGAGCCCACACAUGGUGGUAGUAGGUACUUUCUUUCUAUUAUUAAUAACUUUUCAAAAAAAAGUUUGGGUAUUUUUUAUGAAGAACAAAUCUGAUGUUUUCAAAUUAUUAAAAGAAUGAAACGUUUUGAUUGAAAAUCAAACUUGACAGAAAAUUAAAUUUUUAAGGACUGAUAAUUGCCUUGAAUUUUGUAAUCAAUGGUUAGAUUUUUUGUGUGUAACAUGAUAUUGUUAGGCACAAAACAAUCCCUUAUACACCCCCAACAAAAUAGAGUGGCUGAGAGGAUGAAUAGAACUCUUUUAGAAAGAGGUAGAAGUAUGUUGGCUUCCUCGGAUUUGCCUAAAAUGUUUUGGGGAGGGACUGUUAUAACACUACAAGAAACUAUCAUUUUUGUAACGAGAUUUUUUCGUCAUUAAAUUCACUUUUUCCGUUACUAAUGAUAUUAGAGACAAAAUUAAUGAUAGAAUUACGUUAGCUACGUGAUCUUUAGUGACGGAAUUCUGUUACAAAUAUUAUAUUUUUUUUUGUAGUAUAACAGUAGCCUAUUUAGUGAAUAGGUUCCCAUCGGUUUCCUUGAAUGGAAAUUGUUCUGAAUCCAUGUGGGUAGGAAAGUCUAUUGAUUUGUCAAAUUUAAGGGUGUUUGGUUGUGCUGCGUAUGCUCAUAUUCUAAUUGAUAAAUUAGAUCUAUGGCAGAAAAAUGUAUUUUCUUGGUUAUCCCGAAGAUGUUAAAGGCUAUAGGUUAUGGAUUAAAAAUAGUCUUGGUUUCAAAUAAAUGUUAGUCGUGACGUUAAAAUUAAUGAGCUUAAAAUACCUUAUUUGAUGAAUGUGUUACUUGUUUCAACUUCUGAAAUUGAUAGUAUUCAAAAUAAGGUGGAUUUUGAUGGUUUUUCAUUGAAAAAUGAUAAAAAAAAAAAAAAAAAGAGGCAAUUAUGAAAAUUUGAAACGAAUUUAAAUAAAUCUGAAACAGUUUUUCAAUCUGAAAAUGUGAGUUCAUGUUAUGAUUUUGUUGUUUUUGGUAACCAAUCUACUAUUUUUCAACAAUAAAAUGUGUGUGAUCCUUUAAGUGAUAAUUUGAGUCAAAGUAUUUCGAAUAGACCCAAAAGAACUAUUAAACAUUCUGUUAGAUUCAAUGAUUUUGAUUUCACUUCAUAUGCUUUUAGUGUGUUUGAUAUACUUAAUGGUAAUGAACCAAAAUCAUAUGAAGAAGCUAUCAAUUCAAAAUAUAAAACGAGUUGAUUAAAACAAUGAAUGAUGAAAUAAACUUCUUACAUGAUAAUAGCACUUGGAGUUUAGUUAACAAACCUGAAAAUUGUUCAUUGGUGAAUUGUAAAUAGAUUUUCAAAGUGAAAAAAGAGGAAAAUAAUAUUAUAUUUAAAUCUAGACUAGUAGCUAAGGGUUUCACCCAAAAAAACAUAUUGAUUAUAAUGAAAUUUUUUCUCCGGUUAUAGUUUUUUAAAGUUCGUGCCAUGCUUGUUUUGGUUGCUCAGUUUAAUUGAAAUCUAAAACGGUUAGAUGUUAAAAUUAUUUUUUUACAAGGCAAUUUAGAUGAAAAGAUUUAUAUGAAAAAGCUCAAUGAUUUUAUUGACAAAAACAAACCCGAUUUUGGGUGUUUGUUGAAGAAAUCUCUUUAUGGCCUAAAAUAAUUACUUAGACUAUGGAAUUUAAAGUUUGAUAACUGUAUGAAAUCUUUAUAUUUUAAUAGAAGUCAAUUUGAUUAUUAUUUGUACUUUAAAUUAGUAAAUGAUAAGUUGUUUUCUUGUUGAUUUAUGUUGAUGAUAUGCUCUUAACAGUUCUGAUGUGACUGUUAUAAAUAAAAUUAAUAAAUGUAUGAGUAAUCAAUUUAAUAUGAAAUUUUUAGGUAAUGCAAAAGUAAUUUUAGGUAUGCAUAUAGAGAGAAAUAGAGAAAAAUCUGUUUUGUUUUUAAAUCAGUCAUCUUAUGUAAAAAAGGUGAUUAAACGGUUUAAUAUGAUUGAUUCCAAAUCUAUUAGUUUGGCAUUAGCUUCACAUUUUUUUUUAAGCAAAAGUCAGUCACCUAAAACACAAGCUGAUUUAGAAUAUAUGAAAAAUGUACCCUAUUCUAAUGCAAUAGGUUCUAUUAUGUACCUUAUGGUUAGUACUAGGCCUGAUAUUGCUUAUGUUGUGAGCCGUUUAAGUCGAUUUAUAUCAAAUCCCGGUGUGGGGGACAUUGGUGUGCUUUAAAGUGACUAUUGAAAUAUUUGUGUGGCACAAUGAAUUUGGGUUUAAAAUACUAUAAAUCUGAUUGUGGUGUGAUUUUGAAAGGUUAUAUUGAUUCAAAUUAUGCGAAUGAUAAAUAUAGUAGAAAAUCGACUAUUUCUUAUGUGUUUACUUUAUGUGGAUAUGUUAUUAGUUGUAAAUCGAAAUUACAACACAUUGUUGCAUUAUCUACGACUGAAUCUGAAUAUAUUGCUAUUAUUGAAGCCUUGAAAGAUGCGUUGUAGUUAAAGGGGCUGCUAUAUGAAAUUGGUGUGUUAUCGGGUGAUACUGUAGUGUAUUCGGAUAGUCAAUCGGGAAUUCAACUUUGCAAGAAUCCUAUUUUUCACGAUCGAACAAAAUAUAUAGAUGUUAGGUUUCAUUUUAUUCAUGAUAUAGUUGGUAAAGAUCUUGUAAUGUUGGAGAAGAUUCCUUCGGAAUUCAAUCCGGUUGAUAUGGGUACCAAAUCGCUGCCUGUUUCUAAAUUUGAGUCAUGUUUAAAUAUUUUGAAUUUUGAUACUUUUGAUUAAUUUUUUAAAUGUGUACUUACAGUAUGGUUGAGUAAUAGGUGUGGCUGUGAUGAUCUUUAUCCAUGUGAAUUUCGACCAAAAAGGUGGAGAAAUGCUGAAUUUUGUCCAAGAUCCGACCUGUCUGGCAAUGACCCGACCCGUGGCCCAAUUUUCCCUAAUCAGAUCCCAACCGUCCAUCCUACGGUUUUAAUCCUACCCGUCCGUUGUAUUGAUAAAUAUAUUGUUGCCCCUCUCAUUUGCAGCGCAUCUACAAAUAUUCUUUCUCUCUCAAAAAGGGUUUUCUGUCGCAAUCGUUCUUCCUCUUCUUCUAGUGUAUCUCCAACGUGUGUUUUUCGGCGAUAUUCACUACGAUUUAAUUAGGCCUUUGUUCUGUGAGACAUUGGGGAGUAUUUGGCGAGGUUUAUACGGUCCGAUUCAUCCAAACCGUGUUGUUCAAUUUUGAGGGUUUGGGUUUCUUCUUUUUGGGUAGGAGAUAGGCUCAUCGGGUGUCUGUUGGCCGUCGCCGGAGCAGCUCUUUCUUGCUAUCAGUUUCUUUGUUCGAUAAACUCAACCGAUUUUAAAUCUGAGCCACAUUAGUGUGUUCUUUGUGUUACGUUUUGUUUGUGUUCUUUAAUAAAGAUUCUUUCAAACUUGUUUUCGAUUUAGUAUUUUUUAUCCUAAAACUAACAUGAUCCAUUCACCCGAUCCAAUCCAUCAUUGUGCGCGACCCAUUUCUGAAUGACCUGACCCAGCGAUCAGCGUAUUAAUUCCAAGACGUACUCUAAGACAUUCAUCCUAGGUCAUUGAUCUCAGUAGUCGGCUAUCCAUUCAUCUUUUCCUCUGGUUUUUCCGCAAAAAUCUUCUCUCUAUUUUCUUUCACAUGUUUACUCUCUAGUUCUAUGUGUUAUUGUGUAUGAUAGUAGGGGGUGUUACGUUUGUGAACUUUCUACGGUUUGAUAUAGAUUGGAUUUCCUCAUAGGGUUGCCGAUGGUGUAUGUGAAUUUGUUUAGUUUGCACUGUGAAUUAUUAUUAUUAUUAUUUUUUUUUUUUCAAUCUGCAAAGUUUUUAAUAAAGAUAUAAUUUAUUUUAUUACAAAAUAAUA